UACGUAGGGUGCAAGCGUUGUCCGGAAUUAUUGGGCGUAAAGAGCUCGUAGGCGGUCUGUCGCGUCUGCUGUGAAAACCCGGGGCUCAACCCCGGGCCUGCAUCCGAUACUCCCGGGCUGGAGGCAGGUAGGGGAGAUCGGAAUUCCUGGUGUAGCGGUGAAAUGCGUAGAUAUCAGGAGGAACACCGGUGGUGUAGACGGCUUACUGGACCACGACUGACACUGAGGCACGAAAGCGUGGGUAGCAAACAGG
rnacentral:rRNA from 1 species